rnacentral:rRNA from 1 species
AACGAACGCUGGCGGCAGGCCUAACACAUGCAAGUCGAACGCACUCUUCGGAGUGAGUGGCAGACGGGUGAGUAACACGUGGGAACGUACCCUUCGGUUCGGAAUAACUCAGGGAAACUUGAGCUAAUACCGGAUACGUCCGAGAGGAGAAAGAUUUAUCGCCGAAGGAUCGGCCCGCGUUUGAUUAGCUUGUUGGUGAGGUAAUGGCUCACCAAGGCAACGAUCAAUAGCUGGUCUGAGAGGAUGAUCAGCCACAUUGGGACUGAGACACGGCCCAAACUCCUACGGGAGGCAGCAGUGGGGAAUAUUGGACAAUGGGCGCAAGCCUGAUCCAGCCAUGCCGCGUGAGUGAUGAAGGCCCUAGGGUUGUAAAGCUCUUUUACUCGGGAAGAU